rnacentral:rRNA from 1 species
AGAGUUUGAUCAUGGCUCAGAUUGAACGCUGGCGGCGUGCCUAACACAUGCAAGUCGAGCGGUAACAGGUGUAGCAAUACAUGCUGACGAGCGGCGAACGGGUGAGUAAUGCUUUGGAAUCUUCCCAGUAGUGGGGAAUAACCAGUCGAAAGAUUGGCUAAUACCGCAUACGUCUGUAAAGGGAAAGCGGGGGCUCGUAAGACCUCGCGCUAUUGGAUGAGCCAAAGUCGGAUUAGCUAGUUGGUGGGGUAAUGGCCUACCAAGGCGACAAUCCGUAGCUGGUCUGAGAGGACGACCAGCCACACCGGAACUGAGACACGGUCCGGACUCCUACGGGAGGCAGCAGUGGGGAAUAUUGGACAAUGGGGGAAACCCUGAUCCAGCGACGCCGCGUGUGUGAAGAAGGCCUGCGGGUUGUAAAGCACUUUUAGUGGGGACAAAAAGCUACGGAUUAAUACUCUGUGGUCUUGAUUUAACCCAAAGAAAAAGCACCGGCUAACUCUGUGCCAGCAGCCGCGGUAAUACAGAGGGUGCGAGCGUUAAUCGGAAUUACUGGGCGUAAAGCGCGCGUAGACGGUUUUGUAAGUCAGAUGUGAAAUCCCUGGGCUCAACCUGGGAACUGCAUUUGAAACUGCAUGGCUAGAGUAUCGAAGAGGGAAGUGGAAUUUCCGGUGUAGCGGUGAAAUGCGUAGAUAUCGGAAGGAACACCAGUGGCGAAAGCGACUUCCUGGUCGAAUACUGACGUUCAUGUGCGAAAGCGUGGGGAGCAAACAGGAUUAGAUACCCUGGUAGUCCACGCCAUAAACGAUGACAACUAGAUGUUGGGAGGGUCUGCCUCUCGGUGUCGCAGCUAACGCGUUAAGUUGUCCGCCUGGGGAGUACGGCCGCA